GCCUGGGUAGCUCAGUCGGUUGAGCGUCCGACUUUGGCUCAGGUCACGAUCUUGUGUUUUGUGGGUUCAAGCCCCGUGUCAGGCU
rnacentral:tRNA from 1 species